CUUUUGCUUUUAUGCACUCGGGACUUGAGUGGUCUAUAAAUGGGACCUAAGAGUUCUGGUUUCCAGCAGGCCUACUUUGCUACAACUCUUAAAACACAUAUAAGGAGUUCUAUAUGGUGAUGCCAGGUUGAGCCACAUGGCCCAGUAGGUUGGAAUCCUUGAGGAAAGAGGUGGAACUCCAAAGAUGGCAGAAUUCAACCCCAAGUUCCUUGGAGGGAAGUCGCUAGAGCAGGGGUUGGGGAAAGCCUAUGGCCC